ACAAGCGGUGGAGCAUGUGGUUAAUUCGAAGCAACGCGAAGAACCUUACCAGGCCUUGACAUGCAGAGAACUUUCCAGAGAUGGAUUGGUGCCUUCGGGAACUCUGACACAGGUGCUGCAUGGCUGCCGUCAGCUCGUGUCGUGAGAUGUUGGGUUAAGUCCCGUAACGAGCGCAACCCUUGUCCUUAGUUACCAGCACGUUAUGGUGGGCACUCUAAGGAGACUGCCGGUGACAAACCGGAGGAAGGUGGGGAUGACGUCAAGUCAUCAUGGCCCUUACGGCCUGGGCUACACACGUGCUACAAUGGUCGGUACAAAGGGUUGCCAAGCCGCGAGGUGGAGCUAAUCCCAUAAAACCGAUCGUAGUCCGGAUCGCAGUCUGCAACUCGACUGCGUGAAGUCGGAAUCGCUAGUAAUCGUGAAUCAGAAUGUCACGGUGAAUACGUUCCCGGGCCUU
rnacentral:rRNA from 1 species